rnacentral:rRNA from 1 species
AUUGAAUGCUGGCGGCAGGCCUAACACAUGCAAGUCGAGCGGAGCGGCGGCCGGGUGUGUAUCGCCAACGAAUCUGCCUGGUAGUGGGGGAUAACGUCCGGAAAUGGGCGCUAAUUUUGCAUACUAUCAGACGAGCCUAGGUCGGAUUAGCUCGUGGGUGGGGUAGAGGCCUACCAAGGCGACGAUCCGUAACUGGUCUGAGAGGAUGAUCAGUCGCACUGGAACUGAGGCACGGUCCGGACUCCUACGGGAGGCAGCAGUGGGGAAUAUUGGACAAUGGGGGAAAGCCUGAUCCAGCCAUGCCGCGUGAGUGAAGAAGGUCUUCGGAUUGUAAAGCACUUUAGGUUGGAAGGCGUUACCAACAGAAUAAGCACCGGCUAACUUCGGGCCAGCAGCCGCGGUAAUUC